GACGAACGCUGGCGGCGUGCUUAACACAUGCAAGUCGAACGAAGUGGCGAAAGGGUGAGUAACGCGUAAUCAACCUGCCCUUCAGAGGGGGACAACAGAUGGAAAAGACUGCUAAUACCGCAUACUGAAGGAGGGGAUUGCGUUGGAUGAGCUAGUUGGAGGGGUAACGGCCCAACAAGGCGCUGAUCAGUAGCCGGGAUGAGAGGGUGAACGGCCAAAUUGGGACUGAGACACGGCCCAGACUCUGACGGGAGGCAGCAGUGGGGAAUCUUCCGCAAUGGAAGAAAGUCUGACGGAGCAACGCCGCGUGAGUGAUGACGGCCUUCGGGUUGGAAAGCUCUGUUAAUCGGGACGCGGUACCGGAAUAGAAAGCCACGGCUAACUACGUGCCAGCAGCCGCGGUAAUUC
rnacentral:rRNA from 1 species